CGGACAUAUCAGACAGUAGUAAGGUAAACAAUCACACGUGAGAGCUUCGUCACGAAAACGUGGUCUUUUACUCUACUAUAAAGUGAGGAAAAGAGGACAAAAAAGGGAUCCAAAAGAGCUUCCCCUCCUUCCUGCAUGUUGUUAUCUUAUCUGUCUAGCUACACAGAGCUACUAGGAAUCAGGUGUGAAGACGUCAAGGAGACAUAUCACCUUUGGAGGAGCAAAGACAUCUCAGUUAGAUAAUUCUCCUCAUGCAUUGAAGACCCAACACUGGUUGACUUCCAAGAGGCAGGAUUGAGGUUAUGUAUUUUUUUAUGGGGCUGCAUGGUGGUGAGUGGUUAGCAUGUUGGCCACACAGUCAGGAGCAUGGGUUUUCUCCGAAUACUCCAGUUUUCCCAGAUUUUUCCCGGACUUUACAGUAUAUUUUAUAUAACUAUAUAAUACAUUGUUUACAGUAAAGCCUGUCUUCACAAGCAGGAACACUGCAUGAACGGAUGUGGGCUCAACAACAACAAACAACACUCCCAUCUUGGCCCUGAAGCUGGGAUGAGAUUAUGUGUCAACUUUGCCCUUGAAUACUGUACCUUCAAUCUAAAUUCCCUAUUUUUUUUUUACUUACAUUUUCAUGUUGUAUAUGACGAAGCAGCCUGAGCUCUCUGUAGGCUCGUUUGGUGUGGAUGAGGGACUGGAAAGGACGAUACAGCUUCUUGAUAGCAACCUUCUCCUUAGUGUUCUGGUCUAUGGCAGAGCUGACACGCAAUUUUACAUUAAAUGACGCAAGAUAUACAUAUAUAUAACUUCUGUGUAUAAUGACUCUUGCAAGAAAAACAAAAUAACUCUAUUGUUAAACUAAUAGUAUUAUAACUGUACAUAUAACUGACUAAAGUAUAGUAUACCUGAUGUACUGUAUAGGUCAGUGUAUAUGACUAAGACAGCAAUUUUAAACCUGUCAGCCAUUAGUGGUGGUUUAUCGUUAGAUAUGUGGUCUUC